rnacentral:guide_RNA from 1 species
AUAAACCAAUAAACAAGUGCAAGUCAAACAAGUAAGAUAAUAUGGAAUUAG